CCCGGUGGCCACAGCAGGGCAGACACACCCGUUCCCAUCCCGAACACGGCAGUUAAGCGCCCUCACGCCGAUGGUACUACGGUUUUCCGUGGGAGAGUAGGUAGCCGCCGGGC
rnacentral:rRNA from 1 species